AAGGAGCAGAAGAAGAAGAAGAAGAAGAAGAAGAAGAAGAAGAAGAAGAAGACAAAGAAUCAUAGAAGUAGCUUUUGCCUAAUUUUUCAAGUUUGGGAAAGAGAAAGGAAGGAAGCAGAGUCGCAUGUGGCUCACUUUUCAGGUUAGGUCAAAGAGAAGUGAGGGAAUUACCUUUGGGGUUUCAUGUGGGGGAAGAGGAGGCCACGCAGCCUACGAGAGAGAAACACCGCGUUGGAACAAGCCAGAAAGAGAACGAGAAGGAAGGGAGCGACCACCUAGUAGUUAUUGAAUUUAUAACGGAUUUGUAGCAGCCAAUAUAAUCAUCUAUAUCAAUUCGGCACAUAAUGCCGAAGUAGUAAUCAAAUAUAUUAUAGUUCUAUUCGAACGCACACCGUAAACUAUAGCCGAUAUAACGUCUAUAUAGAUAAAGACGGGUAAGAAGUGCGACCAUUAUAUUCCUGAUAUUAUUAUGUAUUAUGUCUGAGUGGUGAGCAAUAGGUUAUUCCAUUAUAUAUAAUCCAUAUCACCGGGAUUGUAUUUCACUCUGGUGUCCAACUACAAGCUACUCUAUCGCCGUCCUGCAUAGAGGAGAGAAAAAUGAUCCAAACCCUACAGAACACACGGUUAAGCAAUUAACGCCUAUUUUUCUGUAGCGGUCACCCUUUAGUGCCACUAUAAUUACACAACCGGGCGAAACUCCUGAGGGGUUGCUUAGACUCUGACCGCGAAUAAAUAGGUGUCUUGUCUCUUCGUGAGUAAAAGGUGAACAAAGUAGAGAAUUAAGAAACCCGUCUAUAGAAACGGGUUCAAUAUGACAGCCUCCAUAUCCGCAUGCUUUUAUAGUAUUUGUAACAUUUUUUUUUAUCUAGCACGAAAACUGCUAAAGUGUCAAUAUUGUGGCAUAAUAUUAUUUAUUUUACAACAUAUACACAAAUAGCAGCUCAAUAACAUAACAACUACCAACACAAAAGCCGAAGCUUUGGUGUUUAACUAAUAUAACAAUAUAAAAUUGACAUUGGCAACAUAAAUUACAAUAAUCAAAAUAAAUCUUAUGCAAUACAAUGACAGAAUUUUUUCUAAUGUAGUAGAUGUUGGUAGCGUUGCUUGGUAGUAAUGGUGGCAAUAUAUGUAGCAGAGUACAUUGGUGUUAAUACUGUUGACUGAUAUAGUAGAAUGGUGAUAAUAUUUGUAAUGGAGUAGGCUACAUUAAUGUUAAUACUGUUAUAGAGUUAAAUGGAGGCAAUAUUUGUAGUGCAGUAUAUCGUCGGUAAUAUUGUUGAGUGAUAGAGUAGAAUGGUGGUAAUAUUUGUAAAGGAGUACAUUUAUGUUAAUACUGUUAAGGGAUAGAGUUAAAUGGAGGCAAUAUUUGUAGUGCAGUACAUCAUCGGUAAUAUUGUUGAGUGAUAGAGUAGAAUGGGGACAGUAGUUGCAGCCUAAUACACUCAUGUUAAUAGUGUCGAUAUAGUAGAAUAAUUACCUUAUGUAUACUAUAUUAUGUUUUAGCAUAGUCCAUGGCGACCAUACUACUCCACGCUCAUAGUAAAAUGGUAGUGCAGUACACUUACGAAGAUCGCGUUUAUGCCACACAAUAUGCUCAGGUUUGCAGCUCAGAAUGAACAUCAUGCGGGGCAAUGGAAGCAUGCAAUGGCGUACAUAUAGCACAUUAAUGUUAACAUGGUUAAUAGUGCGCAUAGCAUGAUAGCAACAGUGCUGAUGUGGGGCUGAUGUAGACACUGCUAGCAAUACGACUCAUAACUCUAGUGCACAAACAGUACAUUCACAUUAAUGAUGUGAACAAAACGGUGCAUUGAGAUUAAUAAUGGGCACAAAACAGUACAUUAAUGUUAUUAAUGUGCACAAACAGUACGUUCGCAUUAAUAUUGUGCCCAAACAGUACACUGACGAUAAUCAUGUGCACAAAAUGGCACGGUACAUUCAAAUUAUUAUUGUUCGCAACAGUACAUCCACAUUGGUAAUGUGCACAAAACAUGCAUCAAAAUUAAUAUCGUACAAUGCAAUGCACAAACGAUGCAGUGGCUGUAAUACUGUGCACAAACAAUGCAGUGACUGUAAUACUGUGCACAAACAAUGCAGUGACUGUAAUACUGUGCACAAACAAUGCAGUGACUGUAAUACUGUGCACAACCAAUGCAGUGGCUGUUAUACUGU